UGUAUCCCAUGUUGGUCCGUUGCCUGAGUUAGUUCCUGCUGUUUUUGGACCUCUGUCAUUUACAACCCUUUGGAUUCUAUUCGGACUAAACCACAGUUUGAUGUUACCAGAGGUAACCGAGAAGAAGAGCUUGCCAAGUUGAGAGGGGAUUGGCACAAUCCAUGUUUGACAGCGGGGGGACUGAACCAAAACUGUGAAAUCAAAAUACUCAGCUGAAAGAUGCUGGAACGCUCAACAAAGCAAUGGGUGCUGCAGUCAUGUUGUAUUGCUUUGUGGGUUUGUUACUACAAGCAACCCUUUUCA